UAUAUACUCCCUCCGUCCGGAAAUAGUUGUCCAAGCAAUGGUUGCAUCUAGACUUAUUUUAGUUAUAGAUACAUCCAUUUUAUCCAUUUCUAGGACAAGUAUUUCCUGAUGGAGGGAGUAUAUU
rfam:Triticum aestivum genome assembly, contig: Triticum_aestivum_CS42_TGACv1_scaffold_020837_1AS